rnacentral:rRNA from 1 species
AGCCAGUAGGGAAUCUUCCACAAUGGGCGCAAGCCUGAUGGAGCAACACCGCGUGAGUGAAGAAGGGUUUCGGCUCGUAAAGCUCUGUUGUUAAAGAAGAACCACGUAUGAGAGUAAACUGUUCCAUACCGUUGAACGGUAUUUAACCCAGAAAUGAAUCGAGUCGGCCCCUAACUACGUGCCAGCAGCCGCGGUAAUAA